rnacentral:rRNA from 1 species
GAUGAACGCUAGCUACAGGCUUAACACAUGCAAGUCGAGGGGAAACGGCAUUGAGUGCUUGCACUCUUUGGACGUCGACCGGCGCACGGGUGAGUAACGCGUAUCCAACCUUCCCAUUACUGUGGGAUAACCUGCCGAAAGGCAGACUAAUACCGCAUAGUCUUCGAUGACGGCAUCAGAUUUGAAGUAAAGAUUUAUCGGUAAUGGAUGGGGAUGCGUCUGAUUAGCUUGUUGGCGGGGUAACGGCCCACCAAGGCUACGAUCAGUAGGGGUUCUGAGAGGAAGGUCCCCCACAUUGGAACUGAGACACGGUCCAAACUCCUACGGGAGGCAGCAGUGAGGAAUAUUGGCCAAUGGACGGAAGUCUGAACCGGCCAAGUAGCGUGCAGGAUGACGGCCCUAUGGGUUGUAAACUGCUUUUGUAUGGGGAUAAAGUUAGGGACGUGUCCCUAUUUGCAGGUACCAUACGAAUAAGGACCGGCUAAUUCCGUGCCAGCAGCCGCGGUAAUACGGAAGGUCCAGGCGUUAUCCGGAUUUAUUGGGUUUAAAGGGAGCGUAGGCUGGAGAUUAAGUGUGUUGUGAAAUGUAGACGCUCAACGUCUGACUUGCAGCGCAUACUGGUUUCCUUGAGUACGCACAACGUUGGCGGAAUUCGUCGUGUAGCGGUGAAAUGCUUAGAUAUGACGAAGAACUCCGAUUGCGAAGGCAGCUGACGGGAGCGCAACUGACGCUUAAGCUCGAAGGUGCGGGUAUCAAACAGG